CGGGAAGAGCUCAAAUUUAUAAUCUGGCACCUUCGGUGUCCGAGUUGUAAUCUCUAGAAAUGUUUUCCGCGCUGGACCGCACACAAGUCUGUUGGAAUACAGCGGCAUAGUGGUGAGACCCCCGUAUAUGGUGCGGAUGCCCAGCGCUUUGUGAUACAUUUUCGAAGAGUCGAGUUGUUUGGGAAUGCAGCUCAAAUUGGGUGGUAAAUUCCAUCUAAAGCUAAAUAUUGGCGAGAGACCGAUAGCGAACAAGUACCGUGAGGGAAAGAUGAAAAGCACUUUGGAAAGAGAGUUAACAGUACGUGAAAUUGUUGGAAGGGAAACGCUUGAAGUCAGACUUGCUUGCCGAGCAAUCGGUUUGCAGGCCAGCAUCAGUUUUCCGGGAUGGAUAAUGGUAGAGAGAAGGUAGCAGUUUCGGCUGUGUUAUAGCUCUCUACUGGAUACAUCUUGGGGGACUGAGGAACGCAGUGUGCCUUACGGCGGGGGUUUCGACCUCUUCACACUUAGGAUGCUGGUGGAA
rnacentral:rRNA from 1 species